GUCGAGCUAUGUAACGAGAGCUUGUAACCCAAGUGGGGACUAUAAGAUGGUGGAACACUGGAUCGGCCCACGGGUCGGAUUUGUUGUUGGCAUAGGUCUGGACUGCCCAAUCCAAGCUGUGAGUGAACCGUAUGAACCAAGCGAAGGUUUGAUCCGUACGGUUGCUAAAGGUUGAGGGUAUUGCGUUAGGCUGGCUUCACAGAGCAGCGACUACCUCCCGCUCUCAGCAGUGGACGGACAA
rnacentral:snRNA from 1 species